rnacentral:rRNA from 1 species
GACGAACGCUGGCGGCGUGCUUAACACAUGCAAGUCGAACGGAAAGGCCCUGCUUUUGUGGGGUGCUCGAGUGGCGAACGGGUGAGUAACACGUGAGUAACCUGCCCUUGACUUUGGGAUAACUUCAGGAAACUGGGGCUAAUACCGGAUAGGAGCUCCUGCUGCAUGGUGGGGGUUGGAAAGUUUCGGCGGUUGGGGAUGGACUCGCGGCUUAUCAGCUUGUUGGUGGGGUAGUGGCUUACCAAGGCUUUGACGGGUAGCCGGCCUGAGAGGGUGACCGGCCACAUUGGGACUGGGAUACGGCCCAGACUCCUACGGGAGGCAGCAGGGGGGAAUAUUGCACAAUGGGCGGAAGCCUUAUGCAGCAACGCCGCGUGCGGGAUGACGGCCUUCGGGUUGUAAACCGCUUUCGCCUGUGACGAAGCGUGAGUGACGGUAAUGGGGAAAGAAGCACCGGCUAACUACGUG